CACAAUGGUCGACUGGUUAGCACGGCCUUCUGUGAGAAGUUUGCAUGGUCUUUCCGUUCCUGCAUUGGUUUUGUCCAGAUACUCCGUUUUCAUCCCACCUUCCAAAAACAUGCAUGGCAGGUGAAUGGAACAAUCCAAAUUUUCCCUCUGUGUGAGUGUGAGCGCGGAUUGUCUGUCGUCUCUGUGUGCCUUGCGAUUGGCUGCAAACCAGUUCAGUGCGUCCCCUGCCUACUGCCCGAAGAUGGCUGGGAUAGGCUCCAGCAUCCCCCGCGACCCUUGUGAGGAUAAAGCGGAUUAGGAAAUGGAUGUAUGAACAUACAUACAUAUUGUACAUACAUACAUACACACACACACACCGGAUCAGCUUUUCGAGUAAGCACUUGUCAUUACUUACAUGUUAACAUUCAACCCUGUGUUUUCCUAACAGUCUUGCCACACAGUAAUGACAGUCAUGGUGGCCUGAAAACAAGCUUAUGUUUCACGUUGUUGUACUUGCUUGCCUGAAAUUAUCAGUGUCCUAGGAUCUGAGCUUUUCUUUCUGAGUAUCGCUGCUAAAACAAUUCACUAUUGUAAAGAGCCCCAAAACAUUAAAUCCGUGAUGUUGGGCAAGCGUGAUGAAUUUGUGGUUAGCACAUUUGCCUCAUGGUCGGGGGGUUCUGGGUAAGAAUCUGGCUUCUUCCCAUGCACACGUGUACAUGUUCCUCCCUCCAAAUACACUGAAGAAUCUCAGAUGUCCUUAUUAAUGUGAGUGUGAACUCUUACGUGUUCUGUGGUUGGCUGGCAACCAAUGCAGAGUGUAUCCCGUUACUUGGCUAAAGUCAAUAAGGAUAGGCUACAGCCCACCCGUGACCCUGUAAAGCAGCGCUGUUGACAAUGGAUGCCAAACAUGCUCAUUCAUUCCACUCCUGCGCCUUUUCCCGCUAAACUGCAGGGUUGGCUUCCUUCGUCUAUAUUCGACUGGGACGUCAUAAUAUAUAAUUGCGGUCAAGGUUUUCUGGCCGAAUGCUCAGCCAACCAAAGGUUCAGUGGUGGGGUUCCCUCUGCUCAUCCAAGACCUACGCACAGGGCAAGAUAUUUGUUUUUGAAGCCUCUAUAGCCCAGGGACCCACCCGCUCUGUUGUUGGCGCUAACCACCUCAUCGGUCUUUUUUUAUGGUGUUUUUUUGCAUUUUAUAAGACAUAAGGGGGCACCUAUACAACUAUGCCUUGAUGCAGUUUCAUGUCAAACUCAAGACAUCAUAUAGAUGUAGGCCAAUAAUACAUAAUAAUCAAAGUUGGCUUGAAUGUUUCAUCGUGUUUUUUUGUCAUGAAUGCACAUAUUCUGCAGGGGACUCUUUGCACAAUGAAAUCGGAAAAAGAAACACGUAAAACCUGUCACGUCUUAUGCCUUGCUUUGUUUUCACUGAUUACAUUUGUUGCAACGGUUCGUGUUCAAUUUCGACUUUAUAGUUGCCGUCGGUGACUUGAAAAGCGAGGCUUUGCCAAGGCGCUGUGUUUCUGACGGCGUUUCAUCAUAAAAGAAAAAUCAAAUCACAUCGCAUCACCUCAGACGGCAAGUCGCUUGUUGUUGUUGUUGUACUGUAGAGUUAAGGGGUUUUAGAUUUCAGAAUCCUCACGCUUCUUUGCUUUUGCUUCUUACUCAAAAACAUCUCGGCCAGAAACGUACGGCGAUGAAAAGUGAACGUUGCAAUCUAAAACUCUUGUAACGCUGUCCCUAAUAAAGUGGCCAGUGGCCAGCUUGCUCUCGGCUGCGCCUUCUUUGAUUUCAGGCCCUAAUUGUCAUUCAGACUGCGUGGGCCGUAGCUAUCACAUGCACUCAAAGAUGUUCACUUUUUAAAUGUCUUUUUUCGCUAAGCCCCUGACAACCAUCUGCCCUUAUUGUCAUUCAUGCAAUCUUGAUCAGUCCGUCUGAAUGGAGAAGAGCUGCUCUCUACACACACACACACACACACACACACACGCAUGCACACAAAGGAGGCUUCAGUGACCACAGAGAAAGCGUGACGGACGUCUGCUGUCCUGCAGCUGUCACUGUAGUGUCACUGACCAGCCUGGACAUCUCUCACACACACGCGCACACACACAGAGCCUAAAUCAGCACUCACUUUGCAGUUUUACCUUUUGAGUCCUGAAACACUUCCCCUGCCUUAGCAGUGGGCAAAGAAGCACAUUCUCAUUGUGGUUGUGUCGGGUCUAAAUUGGCAGCGUGCCGGACUAUGGCACAGCUACAAAUAGCCCGUGACACUACAGCAGCCGAGUAGCUUGCAGCCACGUGAGUGCAAACCACAGUGGAAGGUCCAAAGGCGCACGCAAUCCAUGGCACCGAGAUCUGCUUUCAAGAGAAUCUACAGUAAUUAAAAGUGAGGUCCAGGUGCAUUGGUAUAAUUUUAAACAUUAACGGUGUGUUACGAUUCAUGUCAAGUGAAAGUCGUGUUUAAAACCAAACAUAAUGGAGAGCAGUACCAUGGCCAAAUGCAGAAUGCAGGUUGGUUUUGCAGCUGUUGCGGCCGCAAAUCCUUAUCGGCUGAGAGUAGCUGCAUCCCCUCUAAGCCAGGGAUCUCCAACUGCCGGUCCGUGGACCGGUGCCGGUCCGCAGGGCAUUUGGUACCGGGCCGCACAGAAAGAACUUGCCUUAAUUCCGUUUUAUUUAUUUCGGAAUACGAAAGAUGUUUUAUUUUGAAAAAUUACCGGAUUCUCCGUUACAUCCGUCUCUGUCACGCUUGACACUUAUCAAACCACGCUUCUGCGUCACGUGACCGAUUACGCUAAAAAACAAAACAAAAUAAAAUAAAAAAGACAUUAAAAAAUUAGUUAAAAAACUGCUGGAGAUCGCAAAUGACGGCGGCCUUAAAAGGACGUUCGAGACAACUGGAUUAAAAUUAUGGCUGAAUAUUCUGAGAUCACCACAGUAGCACUGUUGCUAUUUCCGACAUGCUACCUGUGUGAGGCGGGGGUUUUCUGCAGCAACGGCGACUUAAACAAAAAUACGAAGUAGCCUGGACAUAAAACACACACUUGAGGUGUCAUUGUCUCCUAUCACCUCGAGAUGGGACGGUCUGGUUGCAGAAAAUCAAGCUCGGGGCUGUGAUGAGUUUUCAUUUUCAUGCACUUUAAAUUUGCAUUGUAUCGUAUUUUGAAUGCAUUAAACAUUACCAUCGCGAUCAGAGUGUUGCAGCCAGAUUAGACGCUCCUUGUGUUUAUUGUUAUUAUUUUUCGAAAACGCCAGUUUUCAUGCAGCUCAUAGCAUAUUAUUUUGUUGUAUUAUUUUCACCACACCUGAAAUGCCGUUCCCUGAAAAUAUUGUCUGACAAAAAAAAGGUUGGGGACCCCUGCUCUAAGCUAGCUAACGGCUGGUCCUCGUCAUUAAUAUUUUUUCCUAUUUUGUGAGUUAAUGUUCAGCCUGAAAUGUACAUCUCAAAUCAUGUUUCUACCCAUAGUUUUGUGGCGUGAGGGGUCCUAUAAAAGAGAAAGGACUCAAAUCCCUUCCAUAAAACAUCAACAGGAAUAGAAACUUAAGGUUCAGUUCCAAGUAAGCCAAAGGGUGAAAUGUUGCCCCAUCCCUUGAAUUGGUAGAAAGACACCACCCUCUAGUGGCCGAAUAUAAAAGUAAAACUUGAAAGCCUGUGGUCCGAAUUGAAAACAUGACAUGAUCAAAUAGAAUAAUUUUAAGAUCCAAAAUUGCAUUUUCAAUGCUUUUCAAUUGAACAUAUUUCGUGUAUGGAGAUGACAAUAUAUUUAAAAUGAAUAUGUACGAGGUAUUUCACCUAUGUCCAUUUCAACACAGACCAAAUGGCUUGAAAAAAAAACUAACUGAAGUUUAAUUAUGUCUUCCCGUUUUAUUACAAGAUUUUUUGUGGCAUCAUUUUGUAUUUUGAUCACGAGUGACAAACUCGCGACCCGGGGGGCCAGAUCCAACUGGCAACAUAAUGCGGCCGACGUAAGCAAAUCAUGUACGUUCAACUUAAUGAUUGUUGCUAAAAAUACCAACAUUGAAAAUUGCCUUCAACAUUUUGCAUUAAUUUGUUGUUUAUGUGUAAAAAUAUGAAGGGAACAUAGUCAUGAUGGCACUCUGAGGGAUACCAUUAUGACAAUCUGCUCCCUGAGCUGAAGUCCAUGUGCAGCAGUCAUGCAAGAUAGAUGACGUUUCAACCUCCACUUAUGUGACUUUGAGACAUAUUUUUCUCCAAAAUGGCAGUUGAAGUCUAAUUCUAUCCCUGGAGAUGUCUUGGCAAAAAGCACCAACAUUUCCUCCAGAUCAGGCUGUAAGUCGUGUGGGGGUUUUCCCCUGGAUUCUAAUAGUCUCAUUCUUGUUCUUGUGUGUGUGUGUGUGUGUGUGUGUGUGUGUGUGUGUGUGUGUGUGUGUGUGCGCCCGCACAUAUGCGACCGCAGCUAUUUAUCAUGCAGGAUUACGUAACAGAGGCUCACAUAAUAGAAUCUUCCUCCAGCUAGAAGGUUGUGGGUGCAGAUGAGUGUGGCGCAUCAGAAAAGCUUCUGAACUGGCAUUUAUCUGUAAUGGUCUCGGUUUUUAAAGAGCAGUUCCCUUCCAUGGACGAAAAAUGAUGUCGUGGUCAACAAGAGCGAGAACUGGAGCGGAGGUUUGUCUAGGUCAGGAGUGCUCAAUUAAAAACCAAAGAGGGUCCACUGCAUGCAGAGAAACACCAAACAUCAUGUGUAAUUCAACCCUAAAUAUUGCGUGUUCAUUAAAAUACAAUUCUGUAGUAUUCCAAUAUUAUUUGAUCAUUCUGCCACUCAAUUAGAAAGAGUAAUUUAGAUUGAGUAAAAAAAAUUCAAGCAGUCCAUGAUAUUUUUUUCCAAAUUAAAAGACUACUGUAUCCCAAAGUAUGCCAGUAACUCUACUGUAAAUCCGCCCCAAAAAAGUAGGUUAAAAUGAAACUCUUGUAUGUGCACGUUAAAAAUCUCCCGCAAAUGGCACCGGUUAAAUAAAAUAAAAACUUCCACAUCCAUAUUUCCUCAAAAGAUUAAAAUACUUCAACACAAUCUCCACAAUUUGAAAUAAUUGUAGCAUAGAGCUCCAAAAAGUUGGACAGUUUAAGCCUGAAUUCAUUCAGAGGUUCUGCUCGUGAAAGAAUUUGUGAUCGUUAAAACAAUCUAAUAA